rnacentral:misc_RNA from 1 species
UCUCCGUUGGUGAACCAGCGGAGGGAUCAUUACAGAAGCAGAGAUGCGAAUCUCUACAACCCUUUGUGAACCUAUAUCGUGUGUUGCUCCCGGCGGGCAGCCCCUGGGAGGGGCCGCGGCCUCCGCGAGGAGGUGCCCGCCGGCGGGCCCCCAAACUCUUGUCGUGUGUCCACUCUGAGCGAAGCGAGAAAAUAGUCAAAACUUUCAACAACGGAUCUCUUGGCUUUGGCAUCGAUGAAGAACGCAGC